rnacentral:rRNA from 1 species
UACGUAGGGUGCAAGCGUUUGUCCGGAAUUAUUGGGCGUAAAGAGCUCGUAGGCGGUUUGUUGCGUCGGCUGUGAAAAUCCCGAGGCUCAACCUCGGGUCUGCAGUCGAUACGAGCAAACUAGAGUGUUGCAGGGGAGACUGGAAUUCCUGGUGUAGCGGUGAAAUGCGCAGAUAUCAGGAGGAACACCGGUGGCGAAGGCGGGUCUCUGGGACGGUACUGACGCUGGAGACGCG